UACGUAGGGUGCAAGCGUUGUCCGGAAUUACUGGGCGUAAAGCGCACGUAGGCGGCUUUGUAAGUUAGAGGUGAAAGCCCGGAGCUCAACUCCGGAAUUGCCUUUAAGACUGCAUCGCUUGAAUCCAGGAGAGGUGAGUGGAAUUCCGAGUGUAGAGGUGAAAUUCGUAGAUAUUCGGAAGAACACCAGUGGCGAAGGCGGCUCACUGGACUGGUAUUGACGCUGAGGUGCGAAAGCGUGGGGAGCAAACAGG
rnacentral:rRNA from 1 species